UAUUUUAAAGAGAGUUUGAUCCUGGCUCAGGACGAACGCUGGCGGCGUGCCUAAUACAUGCAAGUCGAACGAACGGAGGAAGAGCUUGCUCUUCCAAUGUUAGUGGCGGACGGGUGAGUAACACGUGGGCAACCUGCCUGUAAGUUGGGGAUAACUCCGGGAAACCGGGGCUAAUACCGAAUGAUAAGAUGUGGCGCAUGCCACGCCUUUGAAAGAUGGUUUCGGCUAUCGCUUACAGAUGGGCCCGCGGUGCAUUAGCUAGUUGGU
rnacentral:rRNA from 1 species